UACGUAGGGGGCUAGCGUUGUCCGGAUUUAUUGGGCGUAAAGAGCGUGUAGGCGGCCAGGUAGGUCUGCUGUGAAAACUCGAGGCUCAACCUCGAGACGUCGGUGGAAACUGUCUGGCUAGAGUCCGGAAGAGGAGAGUGGAAUUCCUGGUGUAGCGGUGAAAUGCGCAGAUAUCAGGAAGAACACCUAUGGCGAAGGCAGCUCUCUGGGACGGUACUGACGCUGAGACGCGAAAGCGUGGGGAGCGAACAGG
rnacentral:rRNA from 1 species